rnacentral:tRNA from 1 species
GGGGUUAUGGCUCAGUGGUAGAGUGCUUGCUUAGCAUGUAUGAGGCCCUGGGUUCAAUUCUCAGCACCA